rnacentral:tRNA from 1 species
GGGGUUAUAGCUCAGUCGGGAGAGCGCCUGCCUUGCAAGCAGGAGGUCGAGGGUUCGAUUCCCUCUGGCUCCA